UGGGGAAUAUUGCACAAUGGGCGAAAGCCUGAUGCAGCGACGCCGCGUGCGGGAUGAAGGCCUUCGGGUUGUAAACCGCUUUUAAUUGGGAGCAAGCGAGAGUGAGUGUACCUUUUGAAUAAGCACCGGCUAACUACGUGCCAGCAGCCGCGGUAAUACGUAGGGUGCAAGCGUUAUCCGGAAUUAUUGGGCGUAAAGAGCUCGUAGGCGGUUUGUCACGCCUGGUGUGAAAGUCCAUCGCUUAACGGUGGAUCUGCGCCGGGUACGGGCAGGCUAGAGUGCAGUAGGGGAGAUUGGAAUUCCCGGUGUAACGGUGGAAUGUGUAGAUAUCGGGAAGAACACCAAUGGCGAAGGCAGAUCUCUGGGCUGUUACUGACGCUGAGGAGCGAAAGCAUGGGGAGCGAACAGGAUUAGAUACCCUGGUAGUCCAUGCCGUAAAACGGUGGAUGCUGGAUGUGGGACCCUUCCACGGGGUUCCGUGUCGGAGCUAACGCGUUAAGCAUCCCCGC
rnacentral:rRNA from 1 species